UGGGGAAUUUUGGACAAUGGGCGAAAGCCUGAUCCAGCAAUGCCGCGUGUGUGAAGAAGGCCUUCGGGUUGUAAAGCACUUUUGUCCGGAAAGAAAUCCUUGGCUCUAAUACAGUCGGGGGAUGACGGUACCGGAAGAAUAAGCACCGGCUAACUACGUGCCAGCAGCCGCGGUAAUACGUAGGGUGCAAGCGUUAAUCGGAAUUACUGGGCGUAAAGCGUGCGCAGGCGGUUUGCUAAGACCGAUGUGAAAUCCCGGGCUCAACCUGGGAACUGCAUUGGUGACUGGCAGGCUAGAGUAUGGCAGAGGGGGGUUAGAAUUCCACGUGUAGCAGUGAAAUGCGUAGAGAUGUGGAGGAAUACCGAUGGCGAAGGCAGCCCCCUGGGCCAAUACUGACGCUCAUGCACGAAAGCGUGGGGAGCAAAGCAGGAUUAGAUACCCUGGUAGUCCACGCCCUAAACGAUGUCAACUAGUUGUUGGGGAUUCAUUUCCUUAGUAACGUAGCUAACGCGUGAAGUUGACCGCCUGGGGAGUACGGUCGCAA
rnacentral:rRNA from 1 species